rnacentral:rRNA from 1 species
UACGGGGGGGGCAAGCGUUGUUCGGAAUUACUGGGCGUAAAGGGCUCGUAGGCGGCCAACUAAGUCAGACGUGAAAUCCCUCGGCUUAACUUGGGAACUGCGUCUGAUACUGGAUGGCUUGAAUUCGGGAGAGGGAUGCAGAAUUCCAGGUGUAGCGGUGAAAUGCGUAGAUAUCUGGAGGAAUACCGGUGGCGAAGGCGGCAUCCUGGACCGAGAUUGACACUGAUGAGCGAAAGCCAGGGGAGCAAACGGG